UAAUGUAUGGGGAUCUGCCCGAUAGAGGGGGAUAACUACUGGAAACGGUGGCUAAUACCGCAUAAUGCCUACGGACCAAAGCAGGGGCUCUUCGGACCUUGCACUAUCGGAUGAACCCAUAUGGGAUUAGCUAGUAGGUGGGGUAAAGGCUCACCUAGGCGACGAUCUCUAGCUGGUCUGAGAGGAUGAUCAGCCACACUGGGACUGAGACACGGCCCAG
rnacentral:rRNA from 1 species